rnacentral:rRNA from 1 species
GUCCACGCAGUAAACGAUGAUAGCUCGUUGUCGGCGAUACACAGUCGGUGACUUAGAGAAAUCGAUAAGCUAUCCACCUGGGGAGUACGUUCGCAAGAAUGAAACUCAAAGGAAUUGACGGGGGCCCGCACAAGCGGAGGAACAUGUGGUUUAAUUCGAUGAUACGCGAGGAACCUUACCCGGGCUUGAAAGUUAGUGACGGACUUGGAAACAGGUCUUCCCUUCGGGGCACGAAACUAGGUGCUGCAUGGUUGUCGU